UCCUGGUUAGCUCAGCUGGUGGAGCACCCCACUAGAAAUGGAUAGGUUUCUGGUUCGAUACCAGGAUCAUGCG
rnacentral:tRNA from 1 species